GCUCCGAUGGUCUAGUGGUUAUAGCGUUCGCUCAGGAUGCGAAAGGUCGCAGGUUCGAACCUCGGCCGGUCAUAACA